UACGGAGGGUGCAAGCGUUAUCCGGAUUUAUUGGGUUUAAAGGGUCCGUAGGCGGAUCUGUAAGUCAGUGGUGAAACCUCACAGCUUAACUGUGAAACUGCCAUUGAUACUGCAGGUCUUGAGUGUUAUUGAAGUAGCUGGAAUAAGUAGUGUAGCGGUGAAAUGCAUAGAUAUUACUUAGAACACCAAUUGCGAAGGCAGGUUACUAAGCAACAACUGACGCUGAUGGACGAAAGCGUGGGGAGCGAACAGG
rnacentral:rRNA from 1 species